AACGAAGGGGACUAGCGUUGUUCGGAUUUACUGGGCGUAAAGGGCGCGUAGGCGGAUUUUUAAGUUGGGGGUGAAAUCCCGGAGCUCAACUCCGGAACUGCCUUCGAUACUGAAAGUCUGGAGCACGGUAGAGGUGAGUGGAAUUCCGAGUGUUGAGGUGAAAUUCGUAGAUAUUCGGAGGAACACCAGUGGCGAAGGCGGCUCACUGGACCGUUGCUGACGCUGAGGCGCGAAAGCGUGGGGAGCAAACAGG
rnacentral:rRNA from 1 species